rnacentral:rRNA from 1 species
UACGGAGGGUGCAAGCGUUAUCCGGAUUUACUGGGUUUAAAGGGUGUGUAGGCGGGCUAUUAAGUCAGUGGUGAAAUCUCCGGGCUCAACCCGGAAACUGCCAUUGAUACUAUUAGUCUUGAAUUUUGUUGAGGUAGGCGGAAUAAGUCAUGUAGUGGUGAAAUGCAUAGAUAUGACUUAGAACACCAAUUGCGAAGGCAGCUUACUAAGCAAAUAUUGACGCUGAGGCACGAAAGCGUGGGGAUCAAACAGG